rnacentral:rRNA from 1 species
CCUACGGGGGGCAGCAGUGAGGAAUAUUGGUCAAUGGACGGAAGUCUGAACCAGCCAAGUAGCGUGAAGGAUGACUGCCCUACGGGUUGUAAACUUCUUUUAUAAAGGAAUAAAGUGAGGCACGUGUGCCUGUUUGUAUGUACUUUAUGAAUAAGGAUCGGCUAACUCCGUGCCAGCAGCCGCGGUAAUACGGAGGAUCCGAGCGUUAUCCGGAUUUAUUGGGUUUAAAGGGAGCGUAGAUGGGUUGUUAAGUCAGUUGUGAAAGUUUGCGGCUCAACCGUAAAAUUGCAAUUGAUACUGGCAGUCUGGAGUACAGUUGAGGUAGGCGGAAUUCGUGGUGUAGCGGUGAAAUGCUUAGAUAUCACGAAGAACUCCGAUUGCGAAGGCAGCUUACUAAACUGCCACUGACAUUGAUGCUCGAAAGUGUGGGUAUCAAACAGGAUUAGAUACCCUAGUAGUC